rnacentral:lncRNA from 1 species
UGGUGAUUGGGGUGACCGCGAACCUGGCCUGAGACCCCGGAUACUUGAGUUUUCGGGGGUCUAACAUUUUGGGGGCUCGUCCGAUUUGCGACCACCCUUCACCUGAGUGGAUUCGAUCUUGGAGGUUUCUGCUUCUGGCAGACAUCUGAAUAUCAGUUGCUGACUACAGACUGUUCUAAGACUGCGAGCCCUAGACUUGCUGUGAAUGUGAACCAGUUCAGCUGAUGUGGACACCCCCUGUCUCUGCAACAGUGUCUGCUAACCAGAAGCCCCUGAUGGAUUCCCCAUUGCCUAAAUUCCUUUUUGCUUUUGACUAGCAUUUCAACCUUCUGGGGUCCCUAACUUCGUCCCAAAGUCAGCAGGAAGCAGUUUGGAAAAGAAUUUCGGCGUCCAUUUUCCCUGGUUAAAAUGCUAAGUCAAAAGGAACUCCCUUACAUGGGGAUGCCAAUAUCUAUCACUCCCUGAUGGGGAUGCUAGAGAGACAGCAAUUCCAUGAUUGGAAUUUCCAGAAAAGAAAAUGGGGGAAUGAAGGAACCGGCUUCCCUUUUGGCAGCCAUAAUGGUUGAACAUGUGCUUCUAUGACCUUGUCCUAGAAACCAGAAAGUCAGAUGCCUGUCUCGUGACAAGGAACCAAUCAGAAGUUAGCUGGUGGUGCUAUGCUUUACGACCCUGGGUGUGCUUUACGGACAAGCGCACGACAAUGACGUAGAGAGCAUAGCAACCACCCUGGGAGGGCCUAUGAGCCAUAACAACCAGUUGACCAAUCAACACAGGGCAAGCCCUCCAAGCCUGGAGGCACACCAAUCCUCGGGUCUUUCACCCACCCGCCAUGGCGGACAGCUAGAAAAAGACGGCUCCUAAGGUCUCCCCAAAGAUCUUAUAGGGCAGCGUAAGGGGAGUGUCUAGGGGUACGCACAGGCUUACGAUUGGUGUGCCUCCAGGCUUGGAGGGCUUGCCCUGUGUUGAUUGGUCAACUGGUUGUUAUGGCUCAUAGGCCCUCCCAGGGUGGUUGCUAU